rnacentral:rRNA from 1 species
GGACUACUGGGGUAUCUAAUCCUGUUUGCUACCCACGCUUUCGCGUAUCAGCGUCAGUAUCCGGCCAGAUGGCCGCCUUCGCCACUGGUGUUCCUCCCCAUAUCUACGAAUUUCACCUCUACUUGGGGAAUUCCGCCAUCCUCUCCGGUACUCGAGCCAAGCAGUUUCGAGUGCACUUCCUCGGUUAAGCCGAGGGCUUUCACACCCGACUUGCCUAGCCGCCUACACGCGCUUUACGCCCAAUAAUUCCGAACAACGCUUGCACCCUCUGUAUUACCGCGGCUGCUGGCAC